UCCGUGUUGGCGGGCAUAUGAAAAUACGGAAGUACAAUGUGUGGCUCAAGUAACUAAUAAUCAAGCAACAGUCCCAGCGCUAGCAAAAAUCUGGAUUUUAACUGAAAGAUGAUCAAGAAGAUCUAGGUGAUGGUUUGCAUCCAGCACUUGCACUCUGAUGACCCUGAACACCCCAGGAAGCUGCGACUGGUGUGGAAGGGAAACGAGCCCCACUGCAUUGCCCGCUGCCUCCACUCCUAAGGAGCCUGUAAAAUGACAAAGGGACGCGACCCUCCUGCAACCCAUUUCACCUCCAGUCUUCAGCACAUCCACUGCCAAGUCCUGCUCUGCAUCCCAUCAUCAUCAUCCCCCAGCCAUCCCCCUCUUCACCUCCACCACCAGUGUCUAGACAUCUUCGGGGGAAUAUCCCUGAACUA